rnacentral:rRNA from 1 species
UACGGGGGGUGCGAGCGUUGUCCGGAAUCACUGGGCGUAAAGGGCGCGUAGGUGGCGUCGUAAGUCUGUGGUGAAAGCCCGGAGCUCAACUCCGGGUCUGCCGCGGAUACUGCGAGGCUUGAGUGCUGUAGAGGGGGGUAGAAUGCCGGGUGUAGCGGUGGAAUGCGUAGAGAUCCGGCAGAAGACCGGUGGCGAAGGCGGCUCACUGGACCAUAACUGACGCUGAUGCACGAAAGCUAGGGGAGCAAACAGG